CCCGCUGAACUUAAGCAUAUCAAUAAGCGGAGGAAAAGAAACUAACAAGGAUUCCCCUAGUAACUGCGAGUGAAGCGGGAAGAGCUCAAAUUUAAAAUCUGGUGUGCUUUGGGCAUCCGAGUUGGAAUUUAGAGAAGCGGCUUCCGGGGUGGGACGGGCACUAGUCUUCUGGAAAGGAGCCUCACAGAGAGGGAGAAUCCCGUCCUUGGCAUGGACACUACCAAGGCUUUUGUGAUGCGCUCUCGAAGAGUCGAGUUGUUUGGGAAUGCAGCUCAAAAUGGGUGGUGAACUCCAUCUAAAGCUAAAUAUAGGCGAGAGACCGAUAGCGAACAAGUACCGUGAGGGAAAGAUGAAAAGCACUUUGGAAAGAGAGUUAAACAGUACGUGAAAUUGUUGAAAGGGAAACGCUUGAAGUCAGUCGCGUCGACCGAGACUCAGCCUUGCCUCGGCUUGGUGUACUUCUCGGCUGACGGGUCAGCAUCAAUUUUGCCCCUUGGAUAAUGAUGAGGGAAAUGUGACACCUUUAUGGUGUGUUAUAGUCUCUUGUCGCAUGCAAGGGUCGGGAUUGAGGAACUCAGCACGCACCUUUGGGUGUCGGGGCUUUGCCCACGAUACGUGCUUAGGAUGUUGGCGUAAUGGCUUUAAACGACCCGUCUUGAAACACGG
rnacentral:rRNA from 1 species